rnacentral:rRNA from 1 species
UUGGAGGGCAAGUCUGGUGCCAGCAGCCGCGGUAAUUCCAGCUCCAAUAGCGUAUAUUAAAGUUGUUGCAGUUAAAAAGCUCGUAGUUGAACUUCGGGAUUUGCCCAUUGGUCAGGCUUAACUGUCUGCACUGGUGUGACGAGUUCCUACCUUCUGAGGAAUCUCCAUGUCAUUCAGUUGGUGUGGGGGGAAAUCAGGACUGUUACUUUGAAAAAUUAGAGUGUUUAAAGCAGGCAUCCGUCUGAAUACAUUAGCAUGGAAUAAUAAAAUAGGACGGUUUGGUUCUAUUUUGUUGGUUUCUAGGAUCACCGUAAUGAUUAAUAGGGAUAGUUGGGGGCAUUAGUAUUCAAUUGUCAGAGGUGAAAUUCUUGGAUUUAUUGAAGACUAACUACUGCGAAAGCAUUUGCCAAGGAUGUUUUCAUUAAUCAAGAACGAAAGUUAGGGGAUCGAAGACGAUCAGAUACCGUCGUAGUCUUAACCAUAAACUAUGCCGACUAGGGAUCGGACGAAGUUAAUUUUUAAUGACUCAUUCGGCG